rnacentral:rRNA from 1 species
UACGUAGGGCGCAAGCGUUGUCCGGAAUUAUUGGGCGUAAAGAGCUCGUAGGCGGUUUGUCGCGUCUGCUGUGAAAACCCAAGGCUCAACCUUGGGCUUGCAGUGGGUACGGGCAGACUAGAGUGCGGUAGGGGUGACUGGAAUUCCUGGUGUAGCGGUGGAAUGCGCAGAUAUCGGGAGGAACACCGAUGGCGAAGGCAGGUCACUGGGCCGCAACUGACGCUGAGGAGCGAAAGCAUGGGGAGCGAACAGG